rnacentral:rRNA from 1 species
GAUGAACGCUGGCGGCGUGCCUAAUACAUGCAAGUCGAGCGAACAGAUGACGAGCUUGCUCCUCUGACGUUAGCGGCGGACGGGUGAGUAACACGUGGAUAACCUACCUAUAAGACUGGGAUAACUUCGGGAAACCGGAGCUAAUACCGGAUAAUAUAUUGAACCGCAUGGUUCAAUAGUGAAAGACGGUUUUGCUGUCACUUAUAGAUGGAUCCGCGCCGCAUUAGCUAGUUGGUAAGGUAACGGCUUACCAAGGCAACGAUGCGUAGCCGACCUGAGAGGGUGAUCGGCCACACUGGAACUGAGACACGGUCCAGACUCCUACGGGAGGCAGCAGUAGGGAAUCUUCCGCAAUGGGCGAAAGCCUGACGGAGCAACGCCGCGUGAGUGAUGAAGGUCUUCGGAUCGUAAAACUCUGUUAUUAGGGAAGAACAAAUGUGUAAGUAACUAUGCACGUCUUGACGGUACCUAAUCAGAAAGCCACGGCUAACUACGUG